CCGCCUACACCCAAACGUGUCAUAGAACACCAUACCUACACCUGAAUAUGUUAAAAUACACCCAAUAAAAACCUGAAAGUUGCCAGGGAGCCUGAAGUACAAUGAAACAGUUGAGACAAUAUUAACUGGUUUAAUUACCUUUGAUCACCUGAGAUCUCUCCUCUGAAGUUGAGUGGUAGAACCAUUGAAUUAUCACUCUUCAUAGACAGACAACUGGGUACAGGUGACCCUGCCCUCUCUACCCGGACCCUGCUCAGCCGUUUCUGUGCAUCUAUUCCCAUCAGCUGGGCCUGCAGUGACUGAUGCACUUCCUGCUCUGACAGCAGCCGCUCCUCAGGUGCACCCCACCAGUGUGUGGCGCUGCAGAGGACAAAGCCUUUGAGACAAUAUUUCACUUUCAUUUCGCUCUAACCAUCAUAGAAUCUUUUCCUCACCUCUACUGCUGAUGAUCGUAUUAUUCCCAAACUUUUUAUUUUGUGCGUAACUAAAUGACACACUUGAUUCCAUUCCCCAGGUGAGGUGUUCCUGUAUCUCCAAUAUUAAUCUAUUCAAUAACACCUGCUGUGCAAACAUAUCAGAUUC